GGGGCCCGCACAAGCGGUGGAGCAUGUGGUUUAAUUCGAAGCAACGCGAAGAACCUUACCAAGGCUUGACAUCCCGAUGACCGCUCUAGAGAUAGAGCUUCUCUUCGGAGCAUCGGUGACAGGUGGUGCAUGGUUGUCGUCAGCUCGUGUCGUGAGAUGUUGGGUUAAGUCCCGCAACGAGCGCAACCCUUAUCUUCAGUAGCCAUCAUUCAGUUGGGC
rnacentral:rRNA from 1 species